rnacentral:rRNA from 1 species
GACGAACGCUGGCGGCGUGCUUAACACAUGCAAGUCGAACGGAAAGGCCCUGCUUUUGUGGUGUGCUCGAGUGGCGAACGGGUGAGUAACACGUGAGUAACCUGCCCUUGACUUGGGGAUAACUUCAGGUAACUGGGGCAAAUACCGGAUAGGAGCUCCGGCUGAAUGGUGGGGGGUGGAAAGUUUCGGCGGUUGGGGAUGGAAUCGCGGCUGAUCAGCUUGUUGGUGGGGUAGUGGCUUACCAAGGCUUUGACGGGUAGCCGGCAUGAGAGGGUGACCGGGGACAUUGGGCCUGAGAUACGGAGCAGACGCCUACGGGAGGCAGCGGUGGGAAAUAUUGCACAGUGGGCGGAAGCCUAAUGCAGCAACGCCGGGUGCGGGAUGAAGGCCUUCGGGUUGUAAACCGAUUUAGCCUGAGACGAAGCGUGAGUGACGGUAAUGGGUAAAGAAGCACCGGCUAACUACGUG